rnacentral:rRNA from 1 species
UACGUAGGGGGCAAGCGUUGUCCGGAUUUAUUGGGCGUAAAGAGCGUGUAGGCGGUCAGGUAGGUCCGUUGUGAAAACUCGAGGCUCAACCUCGAGACGCCGAUGGAAACCAUCUGACUAGAGUCCGGAAGAGGAGAGUGGAAUUCCUGGUGUAGCGGUGAAAUGCGCAGAUAUCAGGAGGAACACCGGUGGUGUAGACGGCUUUCUGGACCGUAACUGACGCUGAGACACGAAAGCGUGGGUAGCAAACAGG